rnacentral:lncRNA from 9 species
CAAGAUGAUGCCAAUCCUGUUGUGCCACAACGAGAGCUCCUACAUGAUCUAUUUUUGUAAUGAAUAAAGAGCAACAAUAAACUAUCACCAAAGUUACAAAUAGAUAAAUUAUGAAGUUAUUUACAUUCUAAAAAAAAAACCAAUGGAACUUUCCUUCCAAAUAGUUUAUUUGUAAAUGACAUAAUUUUUUUUUUUUUGCCUUUUCUAGGGCCACUCCCGUGGCAUAUGGAUGUUCUCAGGCUAGGGGUCGAAUCGGAGCUGUAGCUGCCAGCCUACGCCAGAGCCACAGCAACUCAGGAUCUGAACCUCAUCUGCAACCUACACCACAGGUCACGGCAAUGCCAGAACCUUAACCCACUGAGCAACGGCAGGGAUCGAACCCGCAACCUCAUGGUUCCUAGUCAGAUUCGUUAACCACUGAGCCAUGACGGGAACUCCUGGAAAUGACAUAAUUUUUAGAGAUUCACAUAUAUAACUUUUUUGCAACUUGACUUAUUGCUGAAAGCCGAGUCUGUGAAUACUUCUUUUAGUGUAUAUUGUAAACUCUUGAACCUCGAUGUUAUUAUUUAUUCUUUUAACACAUGCUCAUGGAGCUCCUGCUGUGUGUCCUGCAUUGAGCUGGUGUCAGGGAAAAGUCACAUGAAGAUACAACCGCUUUUUAUUCUAAUGUCAGGGUUGGGGAAAUUCAAUAUCUGAGUGAAAGGUCAGUUACUGGGGAGUCAGAAUUUGUGUUCAUGUUUUGGUCUUCAUGAGAUGGACAUUGAGCACAGCAAUUAAUUUUGAUACCUGUUUUAUGAAAGCCGAUAAAUCAAGUUAACUGCCGUAACUGCUUAUGGAUCUUAAACUGGUGUAUUUUGUUGUAGAAAUACCAUUUAAAACUCUUUAACUUCUGUAUUUCAGGAAGUUAAAAAUACUGUUUUUGAGUGCAGAUUUUUCUUGUUAACAGCCAUCAGACACACUUGGAGACAUACAAUUAACCCUUGUUAGUUUUAUUUGAAAACACGCCAUCUUUAGCGCAUCAAUUUCUAGAGGAAAGGAAGACCCGAUUCAACCUAGAUUGAUCCAGUUUAUAGCCUUAGCUUACAUUACUUAAUUUCAAGUAGUAUCUUCUUGACUUGGAAGAUCUAGAGCUGAUUCUAAGAAAAGGUUUGGCAACUGACACCUUUUUGGAAAUGUUCCUGUUUUCUGUGUGCUCUCUACCCAUUGUGGAGAUAAAAACUCUAAUGCCAUACAUCAUUGAAACACCAAAGACAGAGUUGCGGCAUGGCUUGACAACUUGGUUAUUAUUUGAUUCAACAUCUUAAUUUAUUUUCUAAAUUAUUAACCAUGGCAACAGUUUAAAAGAAGUUCUUAAGGUAAAAUUAUAGAGGAUGCUGACAAGUAAGUAUCUGCUCUUUCGUGAUCAAAAAUUAAAGCCGAAGCAAGAUCUUUUCUUUUUUAUUGUGCUGAAAUACGCCUAACAUAAACUUCCCAUCUUAGCCAUUUUUAAGUGGACAGUUAAGUGACUGUAAGUACAUUUACAUUGUUGUACAACUGAAACAGGCUGGGAUCUGGGACCCCUGGCUGCAGUGGCUACAGCGCUUACACCUCUGCAGAUGUCUCCUCUGGUGACAAGAUGCAAAAAACUGUAAGGGACUGAAAGUAACUACAUGCAUGCAUUGUUGGGAUAAAUUUUGGACAAAAAGAUACAAAAAAGGCCAAAACACCCAACUGCCACUGCUGGAAAGCUGGGACCAAAAACAAGGUCCUAUGCAUGUCCCCUGCACACACCACCACCAAAGGGGCGGGCAGGCCAACUAAGCCAUCCUCUGGCCUGACCCCUGGACCCACCCCUACCCUUGCCCCAUAUAAGGAACCAGCUUGCCCCACCCCCCCAUCAGUGAGGGAGGGAGUGAGCAAGGGAACCUGCUACUUGUUUUCACUCCCCACCUGCUGCAGCAGGGGCCCCACAAAAGCCUUGCUUGAAUUGCUUGCCUGGCCUCUUAUCGGUUUCUGUUGAUUAAGUAAGGAAGGCCAGAACCCAGGUAGGUGACACAGCCAUCACCACUCUCCAUCCCCAUAACUCUUUCAGGAGCUGACUGUUAUUACUAGUUAUUUUGAGGGGCUGCAUUCUAGCGAGCCUGAUAGAGUUUUAUGAUGGAAAGGUGGUACCAGAGGGUCUCAGGUUUUAAGGGGUGUGUCACAAAACACUCAUCUUUAGAGGACUCAUGAGGCCCCCCCCCCCCCCCCCCCCGCUUUUUUCUCUCUUGGCCACCCUGCAGCAUAUGGAAUUCCUGGGCCAGAACGCCAUCUGAGCUGCAAUUGUGACCUAUGCUGGAUCCUUUAACCCACGAUGCCGGGCUGGGGAUCAAGCCUGUGUCCUGGUCCAUAAAACCGCUGCCAUUCCUGUUGCACCACAGAGGGAACUCCAGAGGCCCUUUCUUUAAGGGCCCUUCCACUUACUCACACUCCCUCAUCCCAAUGGGGAUCUCAGUCAAGUUUGUUCUGCUGCCAAGUCCAGGCUUGUGUUGCUCGCUGCACCACAGGCCAGUAAUUCAAGAGACACGUUGCUGGGGCAAGGAAGAGCAACGUUAUUUGGAAAGCCAGCAGACUGAGAAGAUGGUGGACUAGUGUCCCAAAGAACCAUCUUAUCCAAGCUGAAAUGCAGGCUUAUGUUAUAUUAAAAAGGGAGGGGUAUUGCUGGUUGUUGCACCCUUCUUGGUGUUGGAAUCCUUUGUUCUUGCAUCUGUCCAGGUAGGUCAGGUCAAGAUGUUCCUGUAAACUUCCAACUAGACAGACGUGAUUCUCUGUUCUGCAACUUUUUAACUCUGAGUGGAAAAGUGUUACACCUUCAAAGCUCAGAGUCUUGAGAAUGGGCUUAUACAGGUAUUUCAUACUAUAGGCAAUGUUCUUAACUAGUAGCAAAAGCAACAGAAUGCAAAGGUUAAAGUGAAAGAAACAGAGGAGUUCCCGUCGUGGCUCAGUGGUUGGCGAAUCUGACUAAGAACCAUGGGGUUGAGGGUUCGAUCCCUGGCCUUGCUCAGUGGGUUAAGGAUCCAGCGUUGCCAUGAGCUGUGGUGUAGGUUGCAGACGUGGUUCAGAUCCCGAGUUGCUGUGGCUCUGGUGUAGGCCGGCGGCUACACCUCCGAUUCAACGCCUAGCCUGGGAACCUCCAUAUGUCGCGGGAGCGGCCCAAGAAAUGG